rnacentral:rRNA from 1 species
UACGGAGGGGGCUAGCGUUGUUCGGAAUUACUGGGCGUAAAGCGCACGUAGGCGGCUUUGUAAGUUAGAGGUGAAAGCCCAGAGCUCAACUCUGGAACUGCCUUUAAGACUGCAUCGCUUGAAUCAUGGAGAGGUCAGUGGAAUUCCGAGUGUAGAGGUGAAAUUCGUAGAUAUCGUCAAGAACACCGAUAGCGAAGGCAGCUUACCAAGCUGUAACUGACGCUGAGGCACGAAAGUGUGGGGAUCAAACAGG